rnacentral:lncRNA from 1 species
AAAAAACAUACCCUUAUAAAAAUGCGCAUCAGCAGCAAAAUGCAAAUUCUGCCUAAACUUUUAGCACUUCUCAUUUGAAGCACACCCUGGCAGAAGAAAGAAAUGCAAACACUUGCAUUUAUGAGACUGGAAACUCUUAGUGGAUUCAACACUGCACUUGUAACAAGGAGCAAUGCCAUCAAAAAUUAUACGGGGCUUAAGGCAAACAGCAGGAAAAGAAGAUUAUAUUUUGAACUAAAGAUUUGAAACAAAAAAUACUUCAAAAGAAAACAAAAAACAUACAAAGAUUGGUUGUGGACUUAAAGAAGUUGUAGGACAUAAUCAGACACUAAAUGAAAAAUGUGUGGCAAUGAAUCUAUUUUGAAAGAAAACAAUCUAUCUUGGCCGUGCUUAUUGUAAAUACUUAAGUACUGUAUUUAAGAUUAAUAUUGUAGUUUUGAUUGUAUAUUUAUUGUUAAAUGUAUAUUUUAAAAAUAGAACGCCCCAACUGGAGUGGAGUUGGCUGGCCUCCUGGGUUGGUUUGCUUCUUCCACAACCUCUCCACAAAGAUAUAAGAACUAUGGCUGAUGCUAGAGCAGGGAACAGGGACCACCAGAACUGACUGUUUUGAUGGCAAAAUGACAGCUGUUCUAUCUAGCUGUUCUGUCUGCUGCUAACUAUUUUUGCUGUGGUGAUUUGCUGUAUGUUGUGUUCUAUAUUGUUUUAUUCUGAUUGUAUGNAUUAUUGAUUGUAUGAUUCUUUUGUUUUGAUGAUGACUUAUNGAAACUUUUGUGCUGCUGUCAACCACCUGGAGCAAUAUUUUUUGGAAAGGCGAUAUACAAACAAAUGUAAAUGUAACGCUGGCGAUAAAGGACACUGGGCGAUAGUUAUUCAAUACUCCUGGAUCCAGAGAGGUCCUCUUAAGAAGGGAGNAUACCACAGCUUUCUUUAGAGCCACUGGUACCUCUCCCUCCUGCAAAGAGGCAUUUAUCACUCCCUGGACCUACCCAGCCAUACCCCGUCAGCUAGUUUUAUUAGCCAUGAAGGGCGAAGGUCAAGGAGGCAGAUAGUAGACUGAACCCCUGCAAGUGUUGGCACCUAGCAUACCUCCACUGUGUGGUUUGGUGUGCCAUCAGUUACAUAAUAGGUAAGACAUGGAGCCUUAUGCUUGGUAUUUUUUUUGUAACACUUCUACUGUUCAGCAUAUUGGAAACUUCUCAGACCUAGAAUAAUCUUUGCAACCUAGAAAGAUUGGCCAGUAUUACAA